AGUAAUUUCUGGAACGACUCACCACUUUACCUAUUUUUAUCAAUGUUUGUAAAACCAGGUGCGAUGCCAUUGUUUCCAUCUCCUUCGUUUUUGUCCGGUGAGAUUAUCCACUAUUCUCUCGAAUUAUGCCACCGAGAACAAACCACCAGUCACCAACAAUUGUUGCUUCGUCUUUUCGGUUAUACCACACACGACUUCAAGCCCUAGCUUUAGCUACUGGUGCCGCCACCUUCAGCCUCCACCGACUUCAUCGCACUUGGGAAAUACCCGUCCUCCACCACCGUUCUUUUCUACUUCUCCUUUUGUUUGCCUUUUUUUAUAUGUUUCUCAGUCUCAAUUUUUACGCAGUUCGCUUUUAUUUGCUCAUAUGCCUUCCACUCUGUUUACACCUCCCCCAAAGAUGAAUUUAUGUUCCGGAGGAGAUCGAGAGGGAAGCAGGAAGGAAGAAGCAGCAACGUACGUCGACACUGAGAGUUACUAGAAAAAUCAUCGCUCUUAAGACAACCGAAGUUCAUGAAGAUGAUGAAGGCUUCGGCUCAAGAUUGGAACUGCUCAUAUCUAUUCCCGCUGCCACCGCUAUUCCUUCUAAUAACAUUGAUAAAGAGAGUCGUUCUCCAAGCUACUUCUAGGUUUCUUGCGCUUAAUUUGGUGUGGUUGGAUGUGAGGAUGGAUGAGGAUGGAAAGAUGAGGUUCUUAGCUGACAAGAACCAACACCGAUGACCUUGACGAUUUUCGUUGGUGAAAUUAUUAAACCCUAAUUUCACCUUUACCAAAGGUAAUUGAUAAUCUCUAUAUUUUUGAUGUUUUGUGUGUAUAGAUGGAAAGAUGAGGUUCAUUGUGUUUUCCUCUGGAAUGGUAAUAUUUCAAAUUGCAGAACUUUGUAAACGUUUUAGAUUUGUCGAUUCAAGAUGAUUAUUGUCAAAGUAUGUGAUUCAUUCUUCAAUCUUGAUAGUUA